ensembl:lncRNA novel transcript
AUUUGGGGCUGACGCCAUUUUAGGCCUCAGCCAGCCCGCACCCAGGGGCUCAUUAAAACAGCGUGUUGCUCCACACCGCCUGGUGUUGUCUGUUGGUGCGCUCUCGAGGUUUGAACGGAUACAAGGACCUUUCAUUAUGACCUCUAUUAUUUCUGACAAGAAGUCCAUUGUUAUUAUUAUCAUUGUCUACGCUCACCAACUCUGAAGUCUAAAAUCCAAAGUCUCAUCUAAACAGCAUCUAAAUCUGAUAUGGGUGAAACUCAAGGUACAACUGCCCGAAGCCAAUCUCUCUCCACUUGUGAACCUACGAAGCCAAACGAGUUAUGUGCUUCCAAGAUCCAGUGGUGGGACAGGCAUAGGAUAGGCAUUCCAAAAGGAAGAAAUAGGAAAGAAGGAAGAAAUGAUAGAUCCAAGUUGUACAAGCAGGUGCCACAUCUGCUCCACUUCUGGAGGGGCCUCAGGGGGCUUUUACUGAUGAUGGAAGGUGAACGGACAGCAGGAACAUCAACCGG